UGUACCGAGUUGCUUGCAUGGUUCAAGCGCUGUACAUGGUGACAGACAUACAUUUUUCGAAGUACAGCGCAAGUACAGCUGUAUGUCUGUCAUAAGUAUUAGCUUUGGCGGAAAGCAGCGAUCGCAAAACAAUUCAUAACAAGUGUUUUUUUUUUUGUUGCGAAUAUUACGUGUUUUGCUACUUUUUAUUUGAAAAUACGUCAAUAAUACGUGAGAUAGAGGAGUUAGUGAACCAUUAAAGUUAAAAUAAUGGAACUAGUACCCAGUAUGUGUUGUUUCUGUGUUGCUUUUCAAAGUGAUAACUAUGGCUCGAUGUGUGGCACCCGGAUGCGUGAGCGUUCGGUUAUUGAUACCUGGGCUCGAGUCCAACUCGAAUUAUAACAACAUAUCCCACAAAUUAUCAUUCCAUCGAUCCCCAAGGGAUGUGACUAUUCGGAAGAAAUGGCUUCGAUUCUUUGGACAGGACCUAAACAGCAAUACUAAAAACAUGUAUAUUCGCUCGCUUCACUUCAGUCCAGAUUGUUUCAUUCAUAUCGAUGUACUUCCAUAUCGUCGAAAACUGAUCCAAACAGCUGUUCCUACUGUCAGAAAGGCCAACGAUUCUCAUGCCUCGGGAAAUUAAAACCGGAAGGCUAGUCAAAAGGUCUUGAUUGACAUCAAGCAAAAGUUGAAUCCAUUAAAAACAUCCGUAACAUCCGCAGAAUCAGCCCGGUUUUCUAAUGGGAGGAAACAUGACUAUCCCGAGAGGGAUAUUCCGUCAAAGGGAAUCGGGAGCAGCACCAUCAACAUCUCUAAUGAGAAACCUAACGAUUCGGCCGGUUAUGAUAGUUUAAUUCAAGCACUGUGGCAAGAAAUAUUGAAGAACUACAGAAAGCUUCAGGAAGCUAAAAUUCAA